rnacentral:lncRNA from 1 species
GUUUCAAAAUCGAAAUCGAUGAUAAUACAGAAUGAUAUCAUGAGACAGUGUUCGAGAGAAAGAGGAGGAUACAGAAUAAUAUCAUGAGACAGUGUUCGAGAGAGAGAAAGAGGAGGAUACAGAAUGAUAUCAUGAGACAGUGUUCGAGAGAGAGAGAGAGAAAGAGGAGGAUACAGAAUGAUAUCAUGAGACAGUGUUAGAGAGAGAGAGAAAGAGGAGGAUACAGAAUGAUAUCAUGAGACAGUGUUCGAGAGAGAGAGAGAAAGAUGAUGAUACAGAAUGAUAUCAUGAGACAGUGUUCGAGAGAAAGAGGAGGAUACAGAAUGAUAUCAUGAGACAGUGUUCGAGAGAGAGAGAGAAAGAUGAUGUUACAGAAUGAUAUCAUGAGACAGUGUUCGAGAGACAGAAAGACGAGGAUACAGAAUGAUAUCAUGAGACAGUGUUCGAGAGAGAGAAAGAGGAGGAUACAGAACGAUAUCAUGAGACAGUGUUCGAGAGAGGGAGAGAAAAGAGG